rnacentral:rRNA from 1 species
GAUGAACGCUGGCGGCGUGCUUAACACAUGCCAGUCGAACGGACAGACGACAAGUUGCUGCGGUUGUCGAUUGCGGCAGGCGGGCGAGUAACGAGGGGAUAAUGCACUGCUAUCUCGGGGAAGACUGCGGAACUGGGUAUACUAUAGGAUAGGAUCGUGCUUACGUGUGUGCGCAGGAGAGAUUUUCGGUUUAGGCUGAGCCGGCAGCGCAUCAGCUAGUUGGUAGGGUAAUGGGCUACCAAGCCGCCGACCGGUAGACGACCUGAGAGGCUGAUCGGCCACACUGGAACUGAGACACGGUCCAGACUCCUACGGGAGGCAGCAGUCGGGAAUCUUAGGCAAUGGGCGAAAGCUUGACGCAGCAACGCCGCGUGGGUGAUGAAGGCCUUCGGAUGGUAAAGCCCUGUUAUUGGGGAAGAACAACUGUCGGCAUAAAUAUAGCUGUUUUGACGGUACCUAAAGAAAAAGCACCGGCUAACUACGUG